CCUACGGGUGGCAGCAGUGGGGAAUAUUGGUCAAUGGCCGGAAGGCUGACCCAGCCAAGCCGCGUGAGGGACGAAUGUGCUAAGGAUUGUAAACCUCUUUUGUCAGGGAGCAAAAUCACCCACGUGAGCGUGUUGGAGGGUACCUGAAGAAAAAGCAUCGGCUAACUCCGUGCCAGCAGCCGCGGUAAUACGGAGGAUGCGAGCGUUAUCCGGAUUUAUUGGGUUUAAAGGGUGCGUAGGCGGGCUAUCAAGUCAGCGGUAAAAUCGUGGGGCUCAACUCCGUCGAGCCGUUGAAACUGGUGAUCUUGAGUGGGCGAGAAGUAUGCGGAAUGCGUGGUGUAGCGGUGAAAUGCAUAGAUAUCACGCAGAACUCCGAUUGCGAAGGCAGCAUACCGGCGCCCGACUGACGCUGAAGCACGAAAGCGUGGGUAUCGAACAGGAUUAGAUACCCGAGUAGUC
rnacentral:rRNA from 1 species